UACGAAGGGGGCUAGCGUUGUUCGGAAUUACUGGGCGUAAAGGGCGCGUAGGCGGUUUGUCAAGUCAGGCGUGAAAGCCCCGGGCUCAACCUGGGAACUGCGCUUGAGACUGGCAGGCUCGAGUUCGGGAGAGGAUGGUGGAAUUCCCAGUGUAGAGGUGAAAUUCGUAGAUAUUGGGAAGAACACCGAUGGCGAAGGCAGCCAUCUGGACCGACACUGACGCUGAGGCGCGAAAGCCAGGGGAGCAAACGGG
rnacentral:rRNA from 1 species